UUCACUAAAACAAAUUUCCCAAAGGAAUAAUCCCUACUUGCUUCUGUCUAAGUUUUCUCAAAUUCGGAGAACCCAUAGCUUUGAUGAUAUGUUACAAGCUUUUCUCCCACUCAGACCAGGUUCUCGUCCCCUAAUUGCCUAUUCCUACCUUCUUUCUCACACACUUCAAGCUCCCAAUCCUCUUCCUCUUUCUCUUGCUGUCCUCCAAUGUAUUCUUCGUUCUGGGUCUAGCGCUGCUCUCCAGACCCACCUUCUUUUAUCUUCUGCAUGGCUUCACCGACGCCGCCAAUCUCACUCUGUCUCCAACAUCCUACUGGAGAUGAAAUCCAUUCGUUAUUUUCCUGAUUCUGCCACCUGCUAUUAUAUAUGCGCACCAAGAUUUCUCUCUCAGUUUUAUUUCUGUGGACGUGUUCAGGCCGCACCACGAAUUUAUUUAUCUGUAAGUUAAUUUUAAUUGUGCUAUUAUUUUUCUUUAUACAUCGUGAUUUUGUAACGAAAAUAAAAAAUUUUUAAAAUCUAAUUGGGAUUUGCAUAUCCAUUCAUGUCGAUAUGCUUACAUUGAAUUAUUUUUGUAUUUUUUAUUUUUUUAUGUAAAUUGUUAUGGAUUUAAAGUAAAGAAUGUAUAUUUUUCUUGUUUAAUUUCCACUAGAAUUAUACUAAAUAUUGCUAUAUACAGUUAUAUUAGGGUAUAAUAACCUCCCCGUCUUGACAAAUUUGCAUUCAAAAAGGACUCCUAUACAUAAUAUGUAUAUCAAUACGUAUAAAUUUGUUUUAAUUUCUGAUUUUUUUAUUAUCCAGAUAUUUAAUAAAUUAUGAUUUGUAUUCUCAGCAGUUUAGAUUUCUUUCCUAUUGAAAAAACCUUCAUAUAUUUAGUAAUAUUUUACUUAUAUACAUACAUGUCUCUUCUUCUUCUUCUUCAUCUUCAUAUGAGCAACCUAAAUCCUAAUUAACCCUACCCAUAAAGCUUUUUGGUAUUAGGGUAACAAUCUUUUCAUGUCCCAAGAAAUUUUCUUUUUUAUUUGAUUUUCUUAUCUUCCCAUUCGAUUUUCUUGUUCAUAUUGUUUAUAAGACACAUCCUUUUCGUUCUUAUCCAAACAAAUUUUCAAAAAGUUUGUAUGUAUAUAUAUAUAUAUAUAUGUGAUCAUAUAUUACUGUUGAAUUUCUUCCCUGCAUGCAUAUAUAUUUAUAUUUCCUUUUUACUUAUUAGUAUAUUCUUUCUUUUUCUCCUCUCUCUCUCUCGUGUAUUGUUUAACAUAUAUGUUAAAAAUAAUAUAUAAGUUUGUAUUAUUUUCAUGAUUCUUUUGACCGAUUUAGGAUGCAAGGGGAUAACGAAAACAAAUCAAGCAAUACCAUCGGGAGUACACAUCCAGCAUGUGCCUCGUGCAAACAUCAAAGAAAAAAGUGCAACAAUGACUGUAUACUGGCACCAUACUUCCCUGCAGAUAAAAAUAGGGAGUUUCAAGCGGUGCAUAAAGUGUUUGGAGUGAGUAAUGUUCAGAAACUAAUACGAAAUUUGAAAGGCGAGGAUCAGAAAAAGGCUGUGGAAUCUUUGGUUUGGGAAGCUUCUUGCAGACAAAAGGAUCCAGUACAAGGACCUUACGGAGAAUACAAGAGAGUCUGUGACGAACUUACAUUAUACAAGAAUCAAAUACAAAUGAUGCAGUUGCCGGGACAAGGAGCUACCAUGUUUAAGCUCGGGAUGCCAAUGAUGGGUUGGAAUGGGAAUCAUGGAAUGAUCAAUAAUAAUAAUAACAACAACAUGCUCAAUUUUAACCAAGAAAACGAUAAGUUGAUAUUUGACUCCAACACCUACUGCUACCCUUCUACUAAUGUAGAGAGACUAAAGAAUGAUCAUGUGGGUGUUGGUGUUACUCUUACUCCUCAAAUUCACCAACACACAACAAAUGCAGUAUCCCAUUAAUCAGUUCUACCUUUCUGGUAAGUUUGAACUAAUCCCUAUAUAUGCAUUUAAAUUAUACAUACUACAUAUAUAUAAUGAAAAUUUGUAAUUACCAUCUAUAUUAUAUUUGACCCUAUUAUUUUAAUUAAGUAAUUAUUCUUUUUUGGGUGAUGAGUAGAGAUAGAGAUUGUGCGUUCCGUUCAUUAUUUUUAAAUUAUUGUGUUAUGAUUAGUAUAUGUGUAUUAAUUAAUAAAAUAAUAUAGAUUUUCACUUUUUAAAUCGAGAUUUAAUUAUUGAAAAUACAUAAUCUAUACAAUUCAUAAACGUAUUCUUGUGAAUGUAUAAAAUAAAAUAAAUCAUGGUUUUUAUUUGGAUUUCACUUGCUUAAUUAUUGUAGGUCAAUUUGGUCCUAACUAAUGGCAAGAUGAUGGAAGGUGAAUGUAUGGAGAAAGAGAACAUAUUUUGGAUAAGGGAAAGCGUAGGAGAUGAUACAAGAAACUAAUAUCUUUGUGUACUUUUUUUUGGGUUUCAUAUCUUCUCUUUGUUUUCCCUAAGUAAUAUGUUUAAUUGGAUAAUGCUAUUUUCUCAUAAAAAUAUGCUAGAUUUUCAUGUAUUUAUAUAUGUUUCGUGUGAUUUAUAUAUUAGAUUCUCGUGUAUUUAUAUAUGUUUGGUGUGAUUUUUAGUUUUAAAUUAAAAAAUAUAUAAUUAUUGUCUUUCCCCUAAGGGUUUAAUUUCACAUUACUAAUAAUUUUAAUUUUUUUAAAAAAUUAUUAAUUUAAUGGUAUUAUACUUGGUUUAUAAUUUUAAAAAAAAUUAAUUAUUUUUUAUAUUUUAAAAAAAAUAAAAAAGAAAUUACUUUUAGAUAAAGUAUAAAAAUUAUAAUAUUAUUUUAAAAUUUCAAGGAAUAAAGUAAUGUAAUUUAAGUAGAGUGUUUAAUGUAUUUCGAAUUAAUUAAAUUAAACACUACCGGACCAUAACUUGGGCCCAAUUCGUGUUGAAUCAAGUGUUGACUUUUGGUCAACGGACAUGAAAGCACAAGUUCAGAACUUCCGAGUCCAUGAAAUUCACAAAGGAAAAAGGAGGAGCAACAGAUUACUAUGACAGUAACCUCUCAUCUCUACUCACCUUUCUUCUUCGUGAUCUUCAUCGUUGCCUUCGUCCGCUCUGACCUGCUUCCCCGGGGUGUUCAUCCUAUAGGUUACCUUUCUCUCAUUCUCAUUUUACAUAUAAUCCAAUUACUUGUAUUUUAUUUUAGUAAUUGGAUCAAUUUGCUGUUAUACUAUCGAAUUUUGAUUGUUUUUUUUUUUUGGGCAAAAAUUUGGCCAGAUGAGAAAUACUUUGCGUCGGAGGUGAUAAAAUGCAGGGACGGAUCGAAAUCGUUCACCAGGGACCGUCUCAACGACAACUAUUGCGAUUGCGUUGACGGGACCGAUGAGCCUGGUUUCUUUCUCGUAUUCUUUAAUUGGCUUACUUUGACUUUUGUUUGUGCUCAUCUGAUUUUGGUGCCGCUCUUAAUCUCAUUGCCUUUUCUCUUCGAGUCGUUGUAUUUGUCUCCGUUUUCUUGUGUUGAAAUUUGAGGAACAUUGCAGGAACUGCAGCUUGUCCAGGAGGCAAGUUUUAUUGCAGGAAUGCGGGGAGUGUACCUAAUUUCAUUUUUUCUUCUCGCGUUAAUGAUGAUUUUUGUGGUCUGUGUUCUUCUCUUGUAUUCUAGUUACAUACUGUAAUUUUUCCUAUUUCAAUCCAUUUACUUGCUUAAGAAUAUUGAUUACUUCGAAGAUUUUAGGUUGGAUUACUAACAAAAUGUCCUAAACUAAAUUGCAUUUGCAUAGAGUUUAGUUUUUGUUUGAGUUACUUGGUUUUUUUAUUAUUGAAACUUGAAAUUUUGGUUGGCAAUUCCAACACUUCUGUAGAUUGCUGUGAUGGAAGUGAUGAGUAUGAAAGCAGAAUCCGUUGUCCCAAUACAUGUAUCAUGGGUGGGACUGUUGAGUACAAGUCUGAAAGUAUUGGAAUCUCGGUUCAUAAGGACUUGGAAAUUGAUACUGUUGAUGUAAAAGAAACCAAGAAUGGUGUCAAUUUAAAGGAAUUGGUUCAGACGCUUGAAGGUGUAGUUAUAUCUUUUAUGGUGUUUUGGUUUUGAUGCACUUAAGAGGGUUAAUGCAUGUUAGUUCAUGAGAUUAAAGGAAGUUGUGUCUUGAUGCUUUCAGGGUUGAAGUUUGUGAUAUUCCUGCAGAUGUCUGCUGUUGGGUUUUUGAUGGUCUUGUGGGUAUCUGAAAAGCGUGAUAGAUCUAGGAAACGCCGUCUUCGAUGAAGGAAAAAGAAUCAACUUUUAGCUCACUGUUUGAUUUUGGGUUAAUAGUCCUCAAACUAAUUAUCUUGUUUUGCUUUUUCCCGUAGGAAUUUUCUGUGUGCCCUUAUAUAUGUUGUUUCAUGGCAUUUCAGGCUAUGAUAUAGCGGUAAGGUCCUAUUUUGCUUGUUUCCGGUGCAUAUCUGCUCUGAUACGAUGGAUUCCUCUGUUUCCCUUCUCUCAACCCAAGAAGGGGCUAGACUUGAUCUGGGUGUUGAUUCCAUUAGGUUUAUAAAACGUCAAUCCGAGAAACAUCAAGAAAAUUCAUUCUAAUGCACCGAAGAGGUUCAAGAGGAUGAAGAAUUCUCUCAUACAAAUAUAGAAGCUUUUGUAUGUUGUUGUAAUGAUUGUAUCUAGUUAAUCUAACUAUCUACCGUUUCCUUGUGUCUUUGUGAUAUCUGCCAGCAGAUAAUUUGAAGAAAUUGUUGAGCUUUUUUGCUUUGCUAGUACCAGUCUGAUAUGAAAGUAAGCCAAUUUACUUCCUUGAUAUGUUGAUGCCAACUUACUUUCCUAGCUGUUUUGUAGGAUGGUAAUCAUUCUUCUUUUUCUUCCAUGUAGUUCCCUCAACUACAUUUUCUAAACGAACCGUAGUCAAUCCAAAUUGAUCUUGUAAGAGAUCUGCUACAAAACAAAUACCUUUAUUUUUCAAAUAAUUUAUAUCGUCUGAGUGUAUCCAUUCCAGUUAAAUGUAUUGUUCAAGAAUUCUUUUUUGAUAAAUUAAAACAGGGUUGGAGUCUUGUAAUAGACGUGGAAGAAAAGAAAAGUGGGGUAGUUGAAUCGGAUUGUACCAGUUCAUAUAUAGUCUGGUUUUUGGUCCAGAAUGUUAAGGACUGAGGAAACGAGUUUUGAUUUGAUUCCGUCUUCACCAGUUAAAUGGUUUCUUUAGAUAUAAAUAAAUUUGAUGUAUAAUAAGUAUAUAUAUUUAUAUAUUAUGUAUAUAUAUAUGUGUUAUAUACAUAUAUAUUUUAAAAAAUUAAAAUAUUUUUUUUAUAGUUUAUUUCACUUUGGUCGUAAUCUAACUGAAUCAGAAAUUUCCGUUUUGGUUAGGAUCAAAGUGAAUACCGGUCCACCUUUUAGUCGGAAAAUUUUUUAUUUGACCCGAUCUGAACCGGUUGAGGCUGGUUCAGUCUUGAGUUUUGUUCACCAGUUGCCCUGCCGAGUCUCUCGUUUACGUUGAUGUAAAGUAGCAGAACAAAGAGGAGCUCCUCGAUUGUAUUCCCCUAAUUAUAUGCGGAGUGAAAUGUCAGUUGCACCUGGGUCAACCAAGCUUCCAAAGUUCUCUUCUUUUCUCCUCCCCUUGAAUCGUGUCUGCUCAAUUUCGUCACCUGCAUUUCAUGCUGUUGAAGAAACCAUCAGAGCUGCAGUUGAAUCCAAAAAUUACGAACAGAUACCUGAUCUUCUCAUUUUAUCAAAACAAUCUUCCCAAAGGAAUAAUCCCUUCUUGUUCCUGUCUAAUUUUUCUCAAAUUCGCAGAACCCAGAUCAUUGAUGAUAUGUUACAAGCUUUUCUCCCACUCAGACCCCGUUCUCGUCCCCUAAUUGCCUAUUCCUACCUUCUUUCUCACACUCUUCAAGCUCCCAGCCCUCUUCCUCUUUCUCUUGCUAUCCUCCAAUGUAUUCUUCGUUCUGGGUCUCGCCCUGCUCUCCAGACCCACCUUUUUUUAUCUUCUGCAUGGCUUCACCGACGC
rnacentral:lncRNA from 1 species